UACGGAAGGGGCAAGCGUUGUUCGGAAUCAUUGGGCGUAAAGGGCGCGUAGGUGGUUCUGUAUGUCUACCGUGAAAGCGUACGGCUCAACCGUAUUUUGUCGGUAGAAACUGCAGGACUUGAGGCUGGGAGGGGCUGGUGGAAUUCCCUGUGUAGCGGUGAAAUGCGUAGAGAUGGGGGAGGACACUCGUGGCGAAGGCGGCCAGCUAGACCAGUUCUGACACUGAGGCGCGACAGCGUGGGGAGCAAACAGG
rnacentral:rRNA from 1 species